rnacentral:rRNA from 1 species
UACGGAGGGUGCAAGCGUUAUCCGGAUUCACUGGGUUUAAAGGGUGCGUAGGUGGGCAGGUAAGUCAGUGGUGAAAUCUCCGAGCUUAACUCGGAAACUGCCGUUGAUACUAUUUGUCUUGAAUACUGUGGAGGUAAGCGGAAUAUGUCAUGUAGCGGUGAAAUGCUUAGAUAUGACAUAGAACACCAAUUGCGAAGGCAGCUUACUACACAACGAUUGACGCUGAGGCACGAAAGCGUGGGGAUCAAACAGG